GAAACAGGUUAAUAUUCCUGUACUCGGUGUUACUGCGAAGGGGGGACGGAGAAGGCUAUGUUGGCCGGGCGACGGUUGUCCCGGUUUAAGCAUGUAGGCGGAUGUUCCAGGUAAAUCCGGAACGUUAUUAACGCUGAGGUGUGAUGACGAGGCACUACGGUGCUGAAGUGACAAAUGCCCUGCUUCCAGGAAAAGCCUCUAAGCAUCAGGUAACAUCAAAUCGUACCCCA
rnacentral:rRNA from 1 species